GACCAAAUAUAAAAAUGUUUUUAUAUUAUCAAUUUACCAAUCAAAGAUGAUGAAUUAUUAAUAAACCAUGUUUGGUUGUAUCCAAAAAUACAGAACCACGUCUCACAUCCUUUACAAGUUUGAUUUUAAAGCUCAAAUAGACAUACAAAUGCAAGCUUAAUCUUGACAUUUGUAGAGUGAAAACAAUCUUUGCUCCACAAAAGGGAAUGAGACGAUGGCAUCAACCUCUGCUUGCAACCCUUAUGAAAUUCUUAGAACCUGGAGAUUUCAAUACAGAAGAACAUGAGAUAAACCAAAUAUAAAAUCAUCAAAUUCAGUGAUAAAGCUGCACUCAAUGCAAUAAAGCGCGUAAAAAAAAAGGCAUUAUCUGCAAAUUCCUGCAAUAGAGAGAAAAAAGGUAGUGUGAGUGUUCUAGAGCAGAAACAUGAACAUUAUUUGAAGUAAACAUGAACACACACAUGCUAAAUAUUAUUUCCUUAAUAAGAAAA
rnacentral:lncRNA from 1 species